UUGACGGUGUUUUGUAUGUGGAUUUCUAUGGUAUAUCCACCGUCAACAAGAUCCCCCAAGCUUAACCUUUGCUCGUCCCGAGCAAACAAUCAAACUUAGCCUCGGUGGAUCAGGUAUUGUUACUAUGUUCACAUUUCAAGUGUACCAUGUGUACAACAAAGUUCUUCUCUUUGCAUGAAAAAUUUAGCUAUGUAAACUUACCCCUAUUACCUUAGUCCCUUAUGGGGCUUAUGGCUUUUCCUUUGUCUUAGGUGGUUGAGAGACAGAACAGUUUGACUUGAGCACUAACUUUCACAUUCUUAGCAAGUUUCAUAUCAGAGGUUUUGUGAUAUUUUCAAAAGAAAGCUUAAAUGUUCCUCUUAUGGUUCUCUCAUGUCACUCAAAUGGUGUAUGAUUCCUCACCAAGGCAUAUGGUAAGAGUUGCCUUCUCUAUUUCAUCCUAUUUCUAAAAGGCUUAUGUGGAGUUCAAGGUAGGGAUGAAAGGAGAUAGCAUACUUACUUUGCAUAUAUUGCGAAGUCAAAGCUCGGAUCCUUGAAGAGAAGUGUCAUACUCCCAGAUCAAGAUGUGCAAGUGUGAUAUAUGGUGGACUAGGUUGCUCCUUUAUUUGAUAGACUCUCUAUGUAUUGAGACAUGGCUAGCUUUUUUUUUAUAUAUAUAUAUGAGCUUUCAUGUGCUCAAUUUUCUUUUUCUGUGGACUUGCAUAUGUCCAUCUUUUUAUUUCAUUUUGCCUAGCCUUUUGAUGUCUCAUUUACCAAAUAAUGCUUAGAGAGAUGUUCUAACAUUUAGAGUAUGGAGCAACCUAUUUAGUGGAUGCGAAAUACAUGUGGUUGCGUACUUCCAGUGUAGAAGCAGCAUAUAUAUAUGUGGUGUCUACGUGAUCUUGAUCUUAGGAGCAUGAAAAGUCUCUUAACAAGGGUCAACAAGACUUGACGACACUCAACACAAAGCAAAUAGCUUAUGUGGAAAGAUUGCAAUUAUGUAAAGUAGAUAUGGCUGUGGUAGGAAUUCAUCACCAUUGAGGAACAAUUAAGGUUUUGAUCAUUUUAAGAAUAAAUCUCUGAUAAUCAUGCAUGCUUAGAAAAAUAUUAUAGUAGCUCUUGUCUUACUAUCUCAUGUCCC
rnacentral:lncRNA from 1 species